AACGCACAUUGCGCCCCUUGGUAUUCCGAGGGGCAUGCCUAUUCGAGCGUCAUUAUCACCCCUCAAGCCUAGCUUGGUGUUGAGGCCUGCUGUCAAGGCAGCCUCUAAAAUCAGUGGCAGUGCUGUCAGGCUCUAAGCGUAGUAAAUCUAAUCGCUAUAGACACCUGGUGGACACUCGCCAGAACCCCCCCAUUUUUUAAUGAUUGACCUCGGAUUAGGUAGGGAUACCCGCUGAACUUAA
rnacentral:misc_RNA from 2 species